UACGUAGGUGGCGAGCGUUGUCCGGAUUUACUGGGCGUAAAGGGCGUGCAGGCGGUUUGUUAAGUGCAGGGUGAAAGCCCCCGGCUCAACUGGGGAGGGUCACGCGAUACUGCUCGACUCGAAGGCAGGAGAGGGAAGUGGAAUUCCCGGUGUAGUGGUGAAAUGCGUAGAUAUCGGGAGGAACACCAGUGGCGAAGGCGACUUCCUGGCCUGUUCUUGACGCUGAGGCGCGAAAGCUAGGGUAGCAAACGGG
rnacentral:rRNA from 1 species